CCCGCAAGUGGGCGGUGCUCCGCCUCAGAGGCCGGCUGUUUGGGUAACGCGGGGGGUACCGGUUACAACCGGUCUCCGCUUCACAGGAUACGGACUGUGGAAAUUGUGAGAUUUCAAUAUGAAAACUGAGUGACCUGAAACCCGUCCCAUUAGUUGAAACUUCUACCUUGGGUUCUUAGUUCCACGACCAGGAAUUGAACCCUGUGCCCCCCUGUGCUGGAAGCAUGGAAUCUAACCACUGGACUCCCAGCAGGAAGAAAAUCAAUAUACAAUACACUGCAAGCAAUACAGUGUGAUACAGUAACCACAAAACAGGAUAAUCACAUGGCCAAUAAGGCAGUUGGAGGAAAUGGAGGGGAAAAAUCCAAGAGAGAAGGUAAGAGCUUAUAGUUGGGGCCAUAUCUUAGUCACUGUUAUAUGACUCAGGGAAAAUAUCAGGGAAAACAGACAAAUGUAAACACAUUUAUUGAGCACCUUCUAUAGGCCAGGUAUGGUGUGGUUCCAUUUUUAAAACCUUACUGCAAAGCAGUCAGAAAGUUUAGGUAAAUUGCCCAGCAUGUGGUAUACAAUGUUUUUCAUACACUAUGCCUUAAUAUUAGCCGAAUAAAUGAAUAUGUAUUCAAAUGGAAGUUAAACAUUUUCUUUGCUGUGCUUCUUUCUAAUAUUUCCUAGAAAAAUGGUAAACUGAGAACUACAGGCUAGAGAAAGGACUGUAUUAGUUGGUGUGCGGUAACGGCAGUAACAUCCUGUGAGUUGGCCACAAUUUUGAUUUACAUGUAUUAACUCAUUUAGUCCUGACAACACUAUGAGGUAAGUAGUCUUUAUUUCUCAUUUUACAGAUGAGGAAACUGAGGUGCAGAGAGGUAAAAUAGCUUAUUCAAGUCAUCCCAUUGGUGCAUAGUAAGGCCAGGAUCUGAACUUUGAGAAGGGAGCUCCAGGCUGUACUUCACACCUCUGAACUAUCUUGCCUCUAGAGACUUGCUGCCUUUCAUACUGUGGUUCACGUAGUUUUACCUUUAGGCUCAGGCUCAGAUCAAGAUUUCCCUAAUUCUCCUUUAUGGCCUCUUACAGAGACUUUGACAAGUACUGCUUCCCAAAGCCAAAGGAAAAUAUUGACAUACUUCCCUAUCUUUUCUACUGUAUAAAAGGCAAAUUGAAGUCAUGGAGUAAGGGACAAAUCUCUUGUUUUCAGUUGGCAAGGGAAGUGAACAUAUAAGUCAAUCUUGCUAUUUCCCAGAUGACUAUCUCGGCAUCUGAAGAAGCAAAAUACCCAGAAUUUACAGAGAAUUUAUUUGAUUUACAAAUCAAAUGGGUCAAAGGCAUGAACAGAAAAUUCACAAAAGAAAAUAAGAGGCCAGUACCUUUAUUUCAUAAUCAAAUUUAGCUAGAUUCAUUUUUAUGCUUUUCUUUUUUCCUCAAGAUUGGAAAACUUUAAAAAGAUUGAUGUAGCUGAAACUGGAGAGGGACAGUCAGGAGGUUGAGGGGUGCGAGACAGUGAAAAGGUAGUGGGAUUGAUGGAUUAUAGAUGCUGGUAAAGCAAAGUAAUGUGGUGUGAGGAGGAAAAGACGGGAAGGACGGGAGGUAGUGACCAGAACAUGGAGUUUUAUAACUGACAAUGUGAAGAAUUUGAGUUUAUUGAUAACGAUAAGGUCUAGAGAAACAAUUUGAUAAAAAUACAUGCCACUUUAUGUAGGACUUCCCAGGUGGUGCUAGUGGUAAAGACCCUGCCUGCCAAUGCAGGAGACCUAAGAGAUGUGCUUUGAUCCCUGGGUUGGGAACAUCCCCUGGAGGAAGGCAUAGCAACCCACUCUAGUAUUCUUGCCUGGAGAAUCCUGUGGACAGAGGAGCUUGGCAGGCUACAAUCCAUGGGGUCACAAAGAGUCAGACACGACUGAAGUGAUCUAGCAUGCACAUGUGUAUGUAACUUAAGAGUUCCUAGUAGCCAGAUUAAAAAAAACAGCAGAUAAAAUCAAUUUUAAUGUAUUUAUUUAACCCAGUAUAUCCAAAAGAGUAACAUUUCAACAUGUAAUCAAGAUUGAGAUAUCUUCCAUUUUUUUACAUAGUAAAUCUUUAAAACUUAAUGUGUAUUUUACACUUACAAUGUAUCUCAACUUAGACUAGUCACAUUUCAAAUGCUCAGCAGCCACAAAUGACUAAUGACUAUUAUAUAUUGGAUGGCACAGGUCUCGAGUAUGACCAUGGGAAUAAGUGGUAUGAUAGAGAGACCAAGGUGUUGAAAGGAUCACCUAUGUGAAUACUGGAAUCACUAAAAAUGUUUUUAAGUCACGAAAAAGCACAUAUUAGACUUAUAUGAAAUGAGUUGGAAAGCUCUCUGAUAUACAGUGAAAAUUAAUUUCCAGUAUAUGUAUGGAUAAUACCAUUUAUUUAAAAAUAUGUAAAUUAUAAAAGAAGACUAUAAGGAAAGAGUCGUCUAACUUAGUAGUUACCCCUGGAGAAUGGAGUAGAAAUAGGGUGGAGUGGGUGUUAAGGGGGACUUUCAUGUCUCACUUUUUAUUCUUCUGGAUCAUUUGAAUAUCUCACAAUGAGGUUUUCAUGUACUUGUUGCUUAAUAAUUUUUAAGAGUUAAUAUUAAUACUAUUGAUGCAGUUAUCUACUUGACUUGGUUCCCUCUCUCCCUCCCUUCACCUGCCUUUUCCUCAGUUUCAAGUAUCAUGAAUUAUUCUGAGAAUAGAAGCUGAAUGGCUUACUGGCCAUUUUUUUUUUAAUUAGUAGGAGUGUAUGUGUUUCAGAUUGUUAUAUUUGAUGCUGUAAAGCACCUUGUUAAGAUUUCCAUUUCUGCUCUAGGUUGCUUGGGGCCUCAGAUGACCAAAUCCUUAAAUCUCAAGAUGAACAUGAUUAAGACAGAGAAUAAGCUAUGAGAUUCCACUGCGUGUCUUGUUCAUCAGUGUUCAUUUCUGGUACUAAGUUUCCUUAAUUAAACGUGUAGCUCAGGAGUGCUGUAGCAGACUUAAGCAGCAUGCUGUGACCUCCUUUAGAUUAACCUUCUUGAGGGCAAGGACUGAAUCUUUGUACCCCUGGUACCAGUAUUAAUAGCAAAAAGAUACUCAAUAAAUGUUCUUUCUUUCAAAAAUAUUUAUUUGGCUGUGCCGGGGCUUAGUUGCAGCACAUAGGAUCUUUAAUCUUCACUGGGGCAAGCCGGAUCUUUAGUUAUGGCAUGUGAACUCUUUAAGUUCCAGCAUGUGGGAUCUAGUUCCCUGACCAGGGGAUCAAACCCAGACCAUGAAAUAUUCCAAAGGUUGUCUGCACUGGGAGCAUGGAGUCUUAAAAGUCUCUAGACCACCAGGAAAGUCCCAAUAAAUGUUCUUUAAAUAGCAUAGUGAAUUUGUUAAUGAUUAAGAGCUACUAAGUAUACUGAAUGAGAGUUUAGAGGAAUGGGCUGUUACUUUAUUUCUAUAUUGAUUUCUUGUGAACUUUCAACUUUCCCUUCAAAAUUUAGGACAAUGUCACUUUUCCCCAUAGCUUUCCCUUCGGCACAAGUAUUUAACAGCUACAUCCUCAGUAUGCUCACACAAUUACAGGUAUACCUCUCAAACCCUCUCAUGCUGUGUGUUCACAUUUCUAAUUGUGAGUUUCUUCUGGGUGAGGACCAUUUCUUAUUAAAAGCAACACAAUGCCUGAGACCUAGCAGGUGCUCCAUAAAUGUUUAUGAAUGAAUAAAUAUAUAAAUGUAUAGAUUAGACCUUGGGGCCUCAAGCCCAUUUCCACAUAUAAUAAUGAAACAGAGAUAAAACCUACAUUUAUUUACUAUUUAUUGAGCACCUGCUGUAUACCAGGCAAAAGGAAAAGAGACAAACUGGCUAUCCAGAACUAUUUUUUUAACUCUUUCAGCAAUGCCUGAGUCCUUAUAAAAAAGUUCAUUCAGCUGAUUUAGUGUCCAUUCAUUCUUCGGUUAAUCUUCAUGUACAGUUUUCUCAAGUGUACUUUCAAAUAUUGCAUAGUGCUGCAGACCAUGAAAUAUUCCAAAGGUUGUCUGAAGGAUGAGAGGGAUCACCAUUGCUUUUAUCUC